rnacentral:siRNA from 1 species
CUGUCUAUUACAGGAUGGUGUAUU